rnacentral:rRNA from 1 species
CCUACGGGUGGCAGCAGUGGGGAAUAUUGGACAAUGGGGGGAACCCUGAUCCAGCGACGCCGCGUGAGUGAAGAAGUCUUUCGGUAUGUAAAGCUCUAUCAGCAGGGAAGAAAGACAUGACGGUCCCUGACUCACACGCCUCGCCUAACUACGUGCCAGCAGCCGCGGUAAUCCGUAGGGGGCAGUCGUUCUCCGGAUUUACUGGGUGUAAAGGGAGCGUAGACGGCGAUGCAAGUCUGAAGUGAAAGGCGGGGGCCCAACCCCUGGACUGCGUUGGAAUCUGUAUGGCUGGAGUGCAGGAGAGGUAAGUGGAAUUCGUAGUGUAGCGGUGAAAUGCGUAGAUAGUAGGAGGAACACCAGUGGCGAAGGCGGCUUACUGGACUGUAACUGACGUUGAGGCUCGAAAGCGUGGGGAGCAAACAGGAUUAGAUACCCUGGUAGUC